rnacentral:rRNA from 1 species
AGUACAAUACUCUAGUAAAGCGGCGCACGGGUGAGUAACACGUGGGUAAUCUGCCUCGAAGUGGGGAAUAACACCGGGAAACCGGUGCUAAUACCGCAUAAUCCGAUGGAAUCUGCGGAUUUUGUCAGCAAAGGAGCAAUUCGCUUUGAGAGGAGCCCGCGGCUGAUUAGCUAGUUGGUGAGGUAAUGGCUCACCAAGGCCACGAUCAGUAGCCGGUCUGAGAGGACGGUCGGCCACACUGGAACUGAGAUACGGUCCAGACUCCUACGGGAGGCAGCAGUGGGGAAUUUUUGGCAAUGGGGGAAACCCUGACCAAGCAACGCCGCGUGGGUGAUGAAGUCUCUUGGGACGUAAAACCCUUUCGACAGGGACGAAGCCGCAAGGUUGACGGUACCUGUAGAAGAAGCCCCGGCUAACUCCGUGCCAGCAGCCGCGGUAAUACGGGGGGGGCAAGCGUUGUUCGGAAUUACUGGGCGUAAAGGGCGCGUAGGCGGUUCGCUAAGUCGGAUGUGAAAACUCUGGGCUCAACCCAGAGCCUGCAUCCGAAACUGGUGGACUAGGGUGCUGGAGGGGAAAGCGGAAUUCCUGGUGUAGCGGUGAAAUGCGUAGAUAUCAGGAGGAACACCGGUGGCGAAGGCGGCUUUCUGGACAGUAACCGACGCUGAGGCGCGAAAGCUAGGGGAGCAAACAGGAUUAGAUACCCUGGUAGUCC